rnacentral:rRNA from 1 species
AUUGAACGCUGGCGGCAUGCCUAACACAUGCAAGUCGAACGGAGGUAGGGGCAACUCUACUUCAGUGGCGGACGGGUGAGGAAUGCGUCGGAAUCUACCCUAUGGUGGGGGAUAACACAGGGAAACUUGUGCUAAUACCGCAUGAUGUCGAGAGACCAAAGCAGGGGACCGCAAGGCCUUGCGCGAUAGGAUGAGCCGACGCCCGAUUAGCUAGUUGGUAGGGUAAUGGCCUACCAAGGCGACGAUCGGUAGCUGGUCUGAGAGGAUGAUCAGCCACACUGGGACUGAGACACGGCCCAGACUCCUACGGGAGGCAGCAGUGGGGAAUAUUGGACAAUGGGCGAAAGCCUGAUCCAGCAAUGCCGCGUGUGUGAAGAAGGCCUGCGGGUUGUAAAGCACUUUUGUUCGGGAAGAAAACGGAUCGGUUAAUACCCGGUUCGGAUGACGGUACCGAAAGAAUAAGCACCGGCUAACUUCGUGCCAGAGCCGCG